AAGGGCUGCAAUGACCCAAUAAGGAGUGACAGCACCUUUCUUCCUCCAGUCAAUAGAAGGAGGGACAUUAUCCUCGUUGGCGUACAUGAAAGUUCCAUUUGCUCGUGAAGCUCCAAGCAAAGUACGAUGAUGCUUAAUCUUAGAACCAGCAUAAUGCUGUCUGAAUUCAUGGUUAGUCAUGUCUGCAAACUUAUUCAGUUUCAACUUAUAAGGCUU
rnacentral:misc_RNA from 1 species